rnacentral:rRNA from 1 species
AUUGAACGCUGGCGGCAGGCCUAACACAUGCAAGUCGAGCGGCUGAAGGGAGCUUGCUCCUGGAUUCAGCGGCGGACGGGUGAGUAAUGCCUAGGAAUCUGCCUGUCAGUGGGGGAUAACGUCCGGAAACGGGCGCUAAUACCGCAUACCCCCUGAGGGAGAAAGUGGGGGAUCUUCGGACCUCACGCUAUUAGAUGAGCCUAGGUCGGAUUAGCUAGUUGGCGGGGUAAAGGCCUACCAAGGCGACGAUCCGUAACUGGUCUGAGAGGAUGAUCAGUCACACUGGAACUGAGACACGGUCCAGACUCCUACGGGAGGCAGCAGUGGGGAAUAUUGGACAAUGGGCGAAAGCCUGAUCCAGCCAUGCCGCGUGUGUGAAGAAGGUCUUCGGAUUGUAAAGCACUUUAAGUUGGGAGGAAGGGCAGUAAGUUAAUACCUUGCUGUUUUGACGGUACCAACAGAAUAAGCACCGGCUAACUUCGUG